CUGGCCGUCUAGCUCCCAUGGCCAUGCCCAUGGCGUCCCUCCCGCGAUCCCACCCACCCGCAACGCGAGGGAAUGGAUCGAUGCCUCCGUGCCCACGCCGGCUGGCCAGCCAGCCGGAUGGUCGUCUCGCACAGCGUCGUUGCGUGUGGCGACGAUGCCCGCCAGGUGAACCUCCUCGAGCGCCUUCAAGGUGUUCGACAGAAUGGGAAGGAUGCCACAAUGCCCAAGACGUAUAUGUGCACGACGGCUGAUGGUUAAGACUUCUUCCCGAUGCAUCUUAUGGAUUCUAUUUUCUUUCCAGAUAUCUUCUUCAGUUCUUCUCUACUACCAUGUGAAAAACGCUCGAGUAGAUGGUCCAUGGUCCAAACAAUCUCCAUAAUGAUCGAGCUGCGUCAUGAAUAACAGUGCCAUUUCAGGUUUGCCUUAUUAUUCGGAGUUCAGAUAUAAUUUGGUCCCAUCUUAUUGACCAAGACUGAAGUGUUAUUGGGACUCUCAUCAUUAGGUGAGCUCAGAGCAUAUGCGCAAAUCAUAUUUUGUUUCUAUACAUUUAUGAAGUUCAAGGUUUAUACCCAACCUCAAGCACUUUUCAUGUCAAUAUCAAAUAAUCGAAUGGGCAUGUGGGAUCAAUAAAGCCUCACUGGUCACCAAUAAAUUUGCAGUUGUCCAAGUUUCAGUCUGACAGGAAUUGUUAUUUCACAUGGAAAAUUGCUUUAGGGCCUGUUUGGUUUGUACGGACUUUAAAUUUUUUAAGUCGUUGUCGCAUCGAAUAUUUGAUACUAGUUAGAAAUAUUAAAUAUAGCCUAUUAAUAAA